AUGGCGAUCCUCAAGAGCUGUUCCCUCGACAGCGACGCGAGUGCCAGGGGCUAUGCUCCGGAAGAGAUCGACCUGGGCGACGACGUGCUCGCGGAGAUCAUCCUGCGCCUGCCUCUCGACUCCGUCGCGCGCUCCAGGUGCGUCUCCAAGAACUGGUGCGCCGCCAUCGCCGACGGCUACCUCCGCCGCCGGCUCCCCCUGCACAUGUCCAUGAUCUGCUUCCCCGACGACGACGGCGCCCUUGGCGGCGGUGGCGGCAGGCCCGUGUACGCGUGCGCAAGGGAGGGCCGCCGGCUCGAGGUCCGGGACCUCGGCUUCUUCCCGCUGCACGACAGCGUCAUCUUCUGCGACGGGUGCAACGGCCUGCUCCUCUGCCGCGCCCCCGGCGCAGGGCCGUUCUACGUCGUGAGCCCGGUGACCAGGAGCUGGGCGGCGCUCCCGAGGCCAGCCAAGGACGCGCGGCUCUCCGUGCUGGCGUUCGACCCGCUCGGCGGGCAGCACUACCACGUGAUAAACUUCACCAGGUGGCGCGACCGCGGCGCGGCGGUGGAGGUGUUCUCGUCGGAGACGCGGGCGUGGGCCGCGCGCGACGUGGAGUUAGGCGGCGUCCCCGCGGGCUCCCUCUCCGGCUCGGUGCACUGCCACAGCGGCGCUAUGUACUUCCUCGCCUCCGACCCGGACUGCGUCGUCCGCAUGGACCUCGCCGCCGGGGCCGGGCUCGCGUGCACGGUCAUCGACCUCCCCGAGCCGGUGGACGGCGACGGCCGCGUCGCGCAUUCCGGCGGCAGGCUGCACUACUUCUGCAGCGACGGAGGGCUACUCAAAGUCUGGUCGCUCCAGGACGACCGCCCGCGCCAGCGGUGGCGGCUAAAGCACGCCGUGAGAGUCAGCGAUGUCGUGGAGGGCGGCGGCGGCGAGGUGAGGUUCCUGGCGAUGCACCCAGAGAAUCAGGCGCUAGUCUACAUAUGGUUGCCGUGGAAGGUCGUCGAGUACGACCUGGGCAAGCGAGAGAUCACCGGCGCGGCGUGGGAGUUCGGCAAGGGCCCGAGGAAUCGUGUCGUGAAGACGUGGCUCGUCCCGUCCUCGUGCUACCUUUCGGAUUGCUUUGCGGACGAUGGUCCGGUACUGGCGCGCUGA
rnacentral:rRNA from 1 species